GAGUGAACGCUGGCGGUAGGCCUAACACAUGCAAGUCGAACGGCAGCACAGUAAGAGCUUGCUCUUACGGGUGGCGAGUGGCGGACGGGUGAGGAAUACAUCGGAAUCUACUUUUUCGUGGGGGAUAACGUAGGGAAACUUACGCUAAUACCGCAUACGACCUACGGGUGAAAGCAGGGGAUCUUCGGACCUUGCGCGAUUGAAUGAGCCGAUGUCGGAUUAGCUAGUUGGCGGGGUAAAGGCCCACCAAGGCGACGAUCCGUAGCUGGUCUGAGAGGAUGAUCAGCCACACUGGAACUGAGACACGGUCCAGACUCCUACGGGAGGCAGCAGCGGGGAAUAUUGGACAAUGGGCGCAAGCCUGAUCCAGCCAUACCGCGUGGGUGAAGAAGGCCUUCGGGUUGUAAAGCCCUUUUGUUGGGAAAGAAAAGCAGCAGGUUAAUACCCCGCUGUUCUGACGGUACCCAAAGAAUAAGCACCGGCUAACUUCGUG
rnacentral:rRNA from 1 species